rnacentral:rRNA from 1 species
CGACCGGCGCACGGGUGAGUAACGCGUGGGUAACCUGCCUCAUACAGGGGGAUAACAGUUAGAAAUGACUGCUAAUACCGCAUAAGACCACGGUACCGCAUGGUACAGUGGUAAAAACUCCGGUGGUAUGAGAUGGACCCGCGUCUGAUUAGGUAGUUGGUGGGGUAACGGCCUACCAAGCCGACGAUCAGUAGCCGACCUGAGAGGGUGAUCGGCCACAUUGGGACUGAGACACGGCCCAG